rnacentral:rRNA from 1 species
UACGUAGGGUGCGAGCGUUAAUCGGAAUUACUGGGCGUAAAGCGUGCGUAGGCGGUUCGCUGUGUCCGAUGUGAAAGCCCCGGGCUUAACCUGGGAAUGGCAUUGGAAACUGGCGGGCUUGAGUGCGGCAGAGGGGGGUGGAAUUCCGCGUGUAGCAGUGAAAUGCGUAGAGAUGCGGAGGAACACCGAUGGCGAAGGCAGCCCCCUGGGUCGACACUGACGCUGAUGCGCGAAAGCUAGGGGAGCAAACAGG